rnacentral:rRNA from 1 species
UUAGGGGUUUCUGGUUUUUCAAGAAAUGAAUUUAAUUCAUACGUCUUAUUUAGAGUUUUAUUAUUUGUUUAUUUAUUUUUAUUUGGCGUUAAGAUUGGGAGGGAUUAGCUUCUUAUUUUAUUUUUAUAAUUUUUUGUUUAUUUAAUCUUGUGGGUUUUAUAGUGAUUUUCAAUUUGAUUAUGUUAAAAUUUUAUUUGUUUUGUUCUUUAUUUUUGUUUAUUUAAUUAUUUAUUGAAAUGUGUUCUUUAUCUUGUUUUGGUUAGUAAUUAUUGUAGAAUUAGUAAAUUUGUUGUUAGGUUGUUUUAUUUGUGUUAAUUUUCUUUGAGGAACUAGGCAAAUUUCAUGUCCGCCUGUUUAACAAAAACAUCUUUUCUUGUUAGUUUUUGAAGUAUGGCCUGCCCGCUGACUUUGGUGUUGAAGGGCCGCGGUAUUUUGACCGUGCAAAGGUAGCAUAGUCAUUAGUUCUUUAAUUGUGAUCUGGUAUGAAUGGCUUGACGAGGCAUGGGCUGUCUUAAUUUUGAAUUGUUUAUUGAAUUUGGUCUUUGAGUUAAAAUUCUUAGAUGUUUUUAUGGGACGAGAAGACCCUAUAGAGUUUAACAUUUAUUAUGGUCCUCUUUCUGUUUGUGAGGGUUCACUGGGCCGUCUAAUAUGUUUUGUUGGGGUGAUGGGAGGGAUUAAUCUAA